AGUGAACGCUGGCGGUAGGCCUAACACAUGCAAGUCGAACGGCAGCACAGUAAGAGCUUGCUCUUACGGGUGGCGAGUGGCGGACGGGUGAGGAAUACAUCGGAAUCUACUUUUUCGUGGGGGAUAACGUAGGGAAACUUGCGCUAAUACCGCAUACGACCUACGGGUGAAAGCAGGGGAUCUUCGCACCUUGCGCGAUUGAAUGAGCCGAUGUCGGAUUAGCUAGUUGGCGGGGUAAAGGCCCACCAAGGCGACGAUCCGUAGCUGGUCUGAGAGGAUGAUCAGCCACACUGGAACUGAGACACGGUCCAGACUCCUACGGGAGGCAGCAGUGGGGAAUAUUGGACAAUGGGCGCAAGCCUGAUCCAGCCAUACCGCGUGGGUGAAGAAGGCCUUCGGGUUGUAAAGCCCUUUUGUUGGGAAAGAAAAGCAGCAGGUUAAUACCCCGCUGUUCUGACGGUACCCAAAGAAUAAGCACCGGCUAACUUCGUG
rnacentral:rRNA from 1 species